rnacentral:rRNA from 2 species
AGAGUUUGAUCAUGGCUCAGAUUGAACGCUGGCGGCAGGCCUAACACAUGCAAGUCGAGCGGUAGCACAGAGAGCUUGCUCUCGGGUGACGAGCGGCGGACGGGUGAGUAAUGUCUGGGAAACUGCCUGAUGGAGGGGGAUAACUACUGGAAACGGUAGCUAAUACCGCAUAACGUCGCAAGACCAAAGUGGGGGACCUUCGGGCCUCAUGCCAUCAGAUGUGCCCAGAUGGGAUUAGCUAGUAGGUGGGGUAACGGCUCACCUAGGCGACGAUCCCUAGCUGGUCUGAGAGGAUGACCAGCCACACUGGAACUGAGACACGGUCCAGACUCCUACGGGAGGCAGCAGUGGGGAAUAUUGCACAAUGGGCGCAAGCCUGAUGCAGCCAUGCCGCGUGUGUGAAGAAGGCCUUCGGGUUGUAAAGCACUUUCAGCGGGGAGGAAGGCGGUGAGGUUAAUAACCUCAUCGAUUGACGUUACCCGCAGAAGAAGCACCGGCUAACUCCGUGCCAGCAGCCGCGGUAAUACGGAGGGUGCAAGCGUUAAUCGGAAUUACUGGGCGUAAAGCGCACGCAGGCGGUCUGUCAAGUCGGAUGUGAAAUCCCCGGGCUUAACCUGGGAACUGCAUUCGAAACUGGCAGGCUAGAGUCUUGUAGAGGGGGGUAGAAUUCCAGGUGUAGCGGUGAAAUGCGUAGAGAUCUGGAGGAAUACCGGUGGCGAAGGCGGCCCCCUGGACAAAGACUGACGCUCAGGUGCGAAAGCGUGGGGAGCAAACAGGAUUAGAUACCCUGGUAGUCCACGCCGUAAACGAUGUCGAUUUGGAGGUUGUGCCCUUGAGGCGUGGCUUCCGGAGCUAACGCGUUAAAUCGACCGCCUGGGGAGUACGGCCGCAAGGUUAAAACUCAAAUGAAUUGACGGGGGCCCGCACAAGCGGUGGAGCAUGUGGUUUAAUUCGAUGCAACGCGAAGAACCUUACCUGGUCUUGACAUCCACAGAACUUACCAGAGAUGCAUUGGUGCCUUCGGGAACUGUGAGACAGGUGCUGCAUGGCUGUCGUCAGCUCGUGUUGUGAAAUGUUGGGUUAAGUCCCGCAACGAGCGCAACCCUUAUCCUUUGUUGCCAGCGGUCCGGCCGGGAACUCAAAGGAGACUGCCAGUGAUAAACUGGAGGAAGGUGGGGAUGACGUCAAGUCAUCAUGGCCCUUACGACCAGGGCUACACACGUGCUACAAUGGCAUAUACAAAGAGAAGCGACCUCGCGAGAGCAAGCGGACCUCAUAAAGUAUGUCGUAGUCCGGAUUGGAGUCUGCAACUCGACUCCAUGAAGUCGGAAUCGCUAGUAAUCGUAGAUCAGAAUGCUACGGUGAAUACGUUCCCGGGCCUUGUACACACCGCCCGUCACACCAUGGGAGUGGGUUGCAAAAGAAGUAGGUAGCUUAACCUUCGGGAGGGCGCUUACCACUUUGUGAUUCAUGACUGGGGUGAAGUCGUAACAAGGUAACCGUAGGGGAACCUGCGGUUGGAUCACCU